ensembl:snoRNA
UACAGAGAGCUUAAAAAAUCUGCUCAAGGGCUGGCCCAGAUGACUGCCACAGCAAGCUCCGCAGCUCAUGGGCCCCGGGUCCCCUGCCCUGGGACCUGGGGAUAAGUUUGGCUGCGGACAUGG